rnacentral:rRNA from 1 species
UACGAAGGGGGCUAGCGUUGCUCGGAAUUACUGGGCGUAAAGCGCACGUAGGCGGCUUUCUAAGUCGGGGGUGAAAUCCUGGAGCUCAACUCCAGAACUGCCUUCGAUACUGGAGAGCUCGAGUCCGGGAGAGGUGAGUGGAACUGCGAGUGUAGAGGUGAAAUUCGUAGAUAUUCGCAAGAACACCAGUGGCGAAGGCGGCUCACUGGCCCGGUACUGACGCUGAGGUGCGAAAGCGUGGGGAGCAAACA